rnacentral:tRNA from 1 species
GCUGAAAUUGUUCAAUUCGUUAGAACAUGUAGCCCUUAACCACAAGGUUGGAGGUUUAAGUCCUCCUUCUAGUG